rnacentral:rRNA from 1 species
AGAGAGAGACAUGCGCGCAUAUCAAUAAGCGGAGGAAAAGAAACUAACUAGGAUUCCCUCAGUAACGGCGAGUGAAGCGGGAAGAGCUCAAAUUUGAAAUCUUCAAGGUUUUACCUUGACGAAUUGUAGUUUAAAGAAGUGUUUUCUGCUGAAGUUUUGGUAAAAGUUCUUUGGAAUAGGACAUCAUAGAGGGUGAGAAUCCCGUAUUUGACCAUUAUUUUCAGCUUUGUGAUACACUUUCAAAGAGUCGGAUUGUUUGGGAAAUGCAGUCCAAAAUGGGUGGUAAAUUUCAUCUAAAGCUAAAUAUUGGCGAGAGACCGAUAGCGAACAAGUACCGUGAGGGAAAGAUGAAAAGAACUUUGAAAAGAGAGUUAAACAGUACGUGAAAUUGUCAAAAGGGAAGCGUUUGACACCAGUGUUGUUUUCUCGAAAAUCAAUUAAAAAUGGCUCGAUUUUGUAUUGUUGAGAUCUUAAAAGCUCACUGUACAUUUUUCGUGUCUUUUUUAAUGCACUUUUCGUUUAACAAGUCAACAUCAAUUUCUUUUGUUGUAAAAGGGUCAUUGGAAGGUGGCUUUCUUUUCGGAGAAAGUGUUUAUAGCCUUUGGCCUCUGCAAUCGGAGAGAUUGAGGUCUGCAGCGUAGAUCCUUCGGGGUUAGAUACAUUUGUGCUAAGUUAUAGCCUUUUCAUAGACAACUUGUUGACUAUGAAUCAGUCAUGUAGCUUACUCGCUUAUGCUAUUUUACCUACGCUUAGGAUGUUGAGUCGUAGAGCACGCAG